rnacentral:rRNA from 1 species
UGAACGCUGGCGGCAUGCCUUACACAUGCAAGUCGAACGGUAACGGGCCUUCGGGUGCCGACGAGUGGCGAACGGGUGAGUAAUACAUCGGAACGUGCCCGAUCGUGGGGGAUAACGAGGCGAAAGCUUUGCUAAUACCGCAUAAGAUCUACGGAUGAAAGCAGGGGACCGCAAGGCCUUGCGCGGACGGAGCGGCCGAUGGCAGAUUAGGUAGUUGGUGGGAUAAAAGCUUACCAAGCCGACGAUCUGUAGCUGGUCUGAGAGGAUGAUCAGCCACACUGGGACUGAGACACGGCCCAGACUCCUACGGGAGGCAGCAGUGGGGAAUUUUGGACAAUGGGCGCAAGCCUGAUCCAGCCAUGCCGCGUGCAGGAUGAAGGCCUUCGGGUUGUAAACUGCUUUUGUACGGAACGAAAAGCCUUCUUUUAAUACAGGAGGGUCAUGACGGUACCGUAAGAAUAAGCACCGGCUAACUACGU